GAUGAACGCUGGCGGCGUGCCUAAUACAUGCAAGUCGAGCGAACAGACGAGGAGCUUGCUCCUCUGACGUUAGCGGCGGACGGGUGAGUAACACGUGGAUAACCUACCUAUAAGACUGGGAUAACUUCGGGAAACCGGAGCUAAUACCGGAUAACAUUUUGAACCGCAUGGUUCAACAGUGAAAGACGGUCUUGCUGUCACUUAUAGAUGGAUCCGCGCCGCAUUAGCUAGUUGGUAAGGUAACGGCUUACCAAGGCAACGAUGCGUAGCCGACCUGAGAGGAGGAUCGGCCACACUGGAACUGAGACACGGUCCAGACUCCUACGGGAGGCAGCAGUGGGGAAUCUUCCGCAAUGGGCGAAAGCCUGACGGAGCAACGCCGCGUGAGGGAAGAAGGUCUUCGGAUCUUAAAACUCUGUUAUUAGGGAAGAACAAAUGUGUAAGUAACUAUGCACGUCUUGACGGUACCUAAUCAGAAAGCCACGGCUAACUACGUG
rnacentral:rRNA from 1 species